rnacentral:rRNA from 1 species
AUACGUAGGGAGCGAGCGUUGUCCGGAAUUACUGGGUGUAAAGGGUGCGUAGGCGGGACUGCAAGUCAGAUGUGAAAUGCCGGGGCUCAACCCCGGAGCUGCAUUUGAAACUGUGGUUCUUGAGUGAGGUAGAGGUAAGCGGAAUUCCUAGUGUAGCGGUGAAAUGCGUAGAUAUUAGGAGGAACAUCGGUGGCGAAGGCGGCUUACUGGGCCUUUACUGACGCUGAGGCACGAAAGCGUGGGGAGCAAACAGGAUUAGAUACCCUGGUAGUCCACACUGUAAACGAUGAAUGCUAGGUGUAGGAGGUAUCGACCCCUUCUGUGCCGCAGUAAACACAGUAAGCAUUCCGCCUGGGGAGUACGGUCGCAAGAUUAAAACUCAAAGGAAUUGGCGGGG